CACCGGCGGCUCGAGUGGUGGCCACUUUUAUUGGGUCUAAAGCGUCCGUAGCCGGCUUGGCAAGUCCCCUGGGAAAUCUGGCGGCUUAACCGUCAGGCGUCCAGAGGAUACUGCCAGGCUUGGGACCGGGAGAGGUGAGAGGUUCCUCAGGGGUAGGGGUGAAAUCUUGUGAUCCCUGAGGGACCACCAGUGGCGAAGGCGUCUCACUAGAACGGGUCCGACGGUCAGGGACGAAAGCUGGGGGCACGAACCGG
rnacentral:rRNA from 1 species